GACGAACGCUGGCGGCGUGCUUAACACAUGCAAGUCGAACGGAAAGGCCCGGCUUUUGUGGGGUGCUCGAGUGGCGAACGGGUGAGUAACACGUGAGUAGCCUGCCCUUGACUUUGGGAUAACUUCAGGAAACUGGGGCGAAUAUCGGGUAUGAGCUCCUGCUGCAUGGUGGGGGUGGGAAAGUUUCGGCGGUUGGGGAUGGACUCGCGGCUUAUCAGCUUGUUGGUGGGGUAGUGGGUUACCAAGGCUUUGAGGGGUAGCCGGCCUGGGAGGGUGACCGGCCACAAUGGGACUGAGAUACGGGCCAGACUGCUACGGGAGGCAGCAGUGGGGAAUUGUGCACAAUGGGCGGAAGCCUGAUGCAGCGACGCCGCGUGGGAGAUGACGGCCUUCGGGUUGUAAACCGCUUUCGCCUGUGACGAAGCGUGAGUGACGGUAAUGGGUAAAGAAGCACCGGCUAACUACGUG
rnacentral:rRNA from 1 species